AACGAAAGCUGGCGGCAUGCCUAACACAUGCAAGUCGAACGAGACCUUCGGGUCUAGUGGCGCACGGGUGCGUAACGCGUGGGAAUCUGCCCUUGGGUUCGGAAUAACAGUUGGAAACGACUGCUAAUACCGGAUGAUGACGUAAGUCCAAAGAUUUAUCGCCCAAGGAUGAGCCCGCGUAGGAUUAGCUAGUUGGUGAGGUAAAGGCUCACCAAGGCGACGAUCCUUAGCUGGUCUGAGAGGAUGAUCAGCCACACUGGGACUGAGACACGGCCCAGACUCCUACGGGGAGCAGCAGUGGGGAAUAUUGGACAAUGGGCGAAAGCCUGAUCCAGCAAUGCCGCGUGAGUGAUGAAGGCCUUAGGGUUGUAAAGCUCUUUUACCCGGGAUGAUAAUGACAGUACCGGGAGAAUAAGCUCCGGCUAACUCCGUG
rnacentral:rRNA from 1 species